rnacentral:misc_RNA from 1 species
AGUCGAACGGUGCACGGACUUUGGUCUGGUGGCGAGUGGCGAACGGGCGAGUAAUGUAUCGGAACGUGCCUAGUAGCGGGGGAUAACUACGAAAGCGAAGGCAUUACCGCAUACGCCCUUCUCGGGGAAAGCGGGGACCUUCGGGCCUCGCACUAUUAGAGCGGCCGAUAUCGGAUUAGCUAGUUGGUGGGGUAACGGCUCACCAAGGCGACGAUCCGUAGCUGGUUUGAGAGGACGACCAGCCACACUGGGACUGAGACACGGCCCAGACUCCUACGGGAGGCAGCAGUGGGGAAUUUUGGACAAUGGGGGAAACUCCUGAUCCGUUAUCCCGCGUGUGCGAUGAAGGCCUUCGGGUUGUAAAGCACUUUUGGCAGGAAAAGAAACGGCACGGGAUAAUACCCUCGUGCAACUGACGGUACCUGCAGAAUAAGCACCGGCUAACUACGUGCCAGCAGCCGCGGUAAUACGUAGGGUGCAAGCGUUAAUCGGAAUUACUGGGCGUAAAGGCAGCAGGCGGUUCGGAAAGAAAGAUGUGAAAUCCCAGAGCUUAACUUGGAACUGCAUUUUUAACUAAUGAGCCAGGGAGUGUGUCAGAGGGAGGUGGAAUUCCGCGUGUAGCAGUGAAAUGCGUAGAUAUGCGGAG